UUCGCAAUGCCCGAAAGGGUGACGAAGCGACGCCGCGUGUGGGAAGAAGGCCUUCGGGUUGUAAACCACUGUCGGGAGUUAGGAAAUGUAAGGGUGCUAAUAGUAUCCUUACUUGACUAAGGCUCCGGAGGAAGCCACGGCUAACUCUGUGCCAGCAGCCGCGGUAAUACAGAGGCGGCAAGCGUUGUUCGGAAUUAUUGGGCGUAAAGAGCACGUAGGCGGCCUUGUAAGUCAGUUGUGAAAGCCUUCUGCUUAACGGAAGAACAGCAGCUGAUACUGCAAGGCUAGAGUGCGGAAGGGGAGAGUGGAACUUCUGGUGGAGCGGUGAAAUGCGUAGAUAUCAGAAGGAACACCGGCGGCGAAGGCGACUCUCUGGUCCGUAACUGACGCUGAGUGUGCGAAAGCUAGGGGAGCAAACGGGAUUAGAUACCCCGGUAGUCCUAGCCGUAAACGAUGGGCACUAAGUAGAGGGGUUUUA
rnacentral:rRNA from 1 species